UCAAGCCUCCAGCAGGAAACUAUGUCCUUAACAAAAUCAUUGUUCUCUCGCCACCAGAGGAGAGAGCCGCUAAGUGCUCUGACUCCCUUGCUUCCAGCCCGUUAAUACGAAUUGGGAUUUUGUGGCUUCACACGCAUUGGCUCACGAUCCUCACAGCGGGGAGGGAAGACGCCACGACCUGCAUUGUACAGACAGGAGGCGCAGGAACUUGCUGGAGACCACAAAGCAGAGAAAUUCGCGAGAAUGUGAGCGGCUCCUCUCACCUCGAUGAGUUCUUCAGCCCCGCCACUCAUUGACUUGAACCGCUGCAAAGUCAUGCAAUGGUGGACAGAGCCCUGACCAGAAGCCCCUCCUGGGAAUUUGGGACAAGGAGCAGGAGAGAUUCAGAGUCCCUUCCUGUGGCUGGAACCGUGAGAGAGGGAGAGACCUCAGAGGAGAGAGGAGGAAGGGAGAAAGAUCCAGAGAUGUCCAGAGAUAUGAAGCCUGUCAUCACCAGCCAGGCAGAGGACAAACAUUUCCAAUAAAGACAGACAACCCAGGCUCUGCGACGUCUCAGCCAGAA